GCCUGGGUGGCUCAGUCGGUUGAACGUUUGACUUUAGCUCAGGUUAUGAUCUCACAGUUCGUGGGUUUGAGCCCCACAUCGGGCU
rfam:Felis catus isolate Cinnamon breed Abyssinian chromosome D1, whole genome shotgun sequence.